GCGGCGUGCUUAACACAUGCAAGUCGAACGGAAAGGCCCUGCUUUUGUGGGGUGUUCGAGUGGCGAACGGGUGAGUAACACGUGAGUAACCUGCCCUUGACUUUGGGAUAACUUCAGGAAACUGGGGCUAAUACCGGAUAGGAGCUCCUGCUGCAUGGUGGGGGUUGGAAAGUUUCGGCGGUUGGGGAUGGACUCGCGGCUUAUCAGCUUGUUGGUGGGGUAGUGGCUUACCAAGGCUUUGACGGGUAGCCGGCCUGAGAGGGUGACCGGCCACAUUGGGACUGAGAUACGGCCCAGACUCCUACGGGAGGCAGCAGUGGGGAAUAUUGCACAAUGGGCGGAAGCCUGAUGCAGCAACGCCGCGUGCGGGAUGACGGCCUUCGGGUUGUAAACCGCUUUCGCCUGUGACGAAGCGUGAGUGACGGUAAUGGGUAAAGAAGCACCGGCUAACUACGUGCCAGCAGCCGCGGUGAUACGUAGGGUGCGAGCGUUGUCCGGAUUUAUUGGGCGUAAAGGGCUCGUAGGUGGUUGAUCGCGUCGGAAGUGUAAUCUUGGGGCUUAACCCUGAGCGUGCUUUCGAUACGGGUUGACUUGAGGAAGGUAGGGGAGAAUGGAAUUCCUGGUGGAGCGGUGGAAUGCGCAGAUAUCAGGAGGAACACCAGUGGCGAAGGCGGUUCUCUGGGCCUUUCCUGACGCUGAGGAGCGAAAGCGUGGGGAGCGAACAGGCUUAGAUACCCUGGUAGUCCACGCUGUAAACGGUGGGUACUAGGUGUGGGGUCCAUUCCACGGGUUCCGUGCCGUAGCUAACGCUUUAAGUACCCCGCCUGGGGAGUACGGCCGCAAGGCUAAAACUCAAAGGAAUUGACGGGGCCCCGCACAAGCGGCGGAGCAUGCGGAUUAAUUCGAUGCAACGCGUAGAACCUUACCUGGGUUUGACAUGGAUCGGGAGUGCUCAGAGAUGGGUGUGCCUCUUUUGGGGUCGGUUCACAGGUGGUGCAUGGCUGUCGUCAGCUCGUGUCGUGAGAUGUUGGGUUAAGUCCCGCAACGAGCGCAACCCUUGUUCACUGUUGCCAGCACGUUAUGGUGGGGACUCAGUGGAGACCGCCGGGGUCAACUCGGAGGAAGGUGGGGAUGACGUCAAGUCAUCAUGCCCCUUAUGUCCAGGGCUUCACGCAUGCUACAAUGGCUGGUACAGAGAGUGGCGAGCCUGUGAGGGUGAGCGAAUCUCGGAAAGCCGGUCUCAGUUCGGAUUGGGGUCUGCAACUCGACCUCAUGAAGUCGGAGUCGCUAGUAAUCGCAGAUAAGCAACGCUGCGGUGAAUACGUUCCCGGGGCUUGUACACACCGCCCGUCAAGUCAUGAAAGUUGGUAACACCCGAAGCCGGUGGCCUAACCGUUGUGGGGGAGCCGUCGAAGGUGGGACUGGUGAUUAGGACUAA
rnacentral:rRNA from 1 species